rnacentral:lncRNA from 1 species
CAGGAAACAUAGAGCGCAUACGUCGACAACAAAGAUCUUUUAAAAUAAUGUGUGUGAAGACAUUUCAAAUGUCUUAUUUGAAUAUUAAGCUUGUCGACGCCUGUGCUCUAUGUUUCCUGGUCCUUAAUUUGGUUGAAAUCCAGCUGAUUUUGUCAAAUUUCACAAAAAUCCCUUAUCUUGACCUUUUUGGGAUGUAAAAAUCAACGUGUUAGAAUUAAACUUUGACAAAAACAGUUCUGUUUAACUUUCUCA